rnacentral:rRNA from 1 species
CAGCAGUCAAGAAUAUUAGUCAAUGCUCGCAAGAGUGAACUAGCUAACUGAAAUCCUUGGUGUGUCAUCGGGGAUAACGUAAAGGAAAAUAAUGAUAUUACUUUACUGUUAGUGUCGUCCAAGUACUCGUGCCAGAAGACUCGGUAAGGCGAGAGACGCAAACGUUAUUCGUCUUGAUCAGGCGUAAAGGGUUUGUAGGCGGCUUUAAGUAUCUAAAAUUAAGUUUACUAUUAUAAUACUACUUUUGUACUAUUAUAAUAUUUAACAGAAGGUCAAUUAAAGCUAGAAUCUAAAAGAGGUUAAAACAAUGCUUGAUAACAGGUGUACUAACCGAAUACAACAAGUAGAGUGUUAAGGGCGAAGGCUUUUAUCCAAUAAAGAUUGACGCUGAGAAACGAAGGUGAGGACAGAAAAAAGGAUUAGAGACCCUUGUAUCCCUCACUGUCAACGAUGAAUGGUAGUUACUAGGGAGAAUAUAAACUAGAGACGAUGUUAACACGAAAACCAUUCCGCCUUGUGAGUACGACUGCAAAGUUGAAAACAAAAAAAUUAGUCGGUUUCGGAGCAAACGAAGUGAAGCAUGUUAUUUAAUUCGAUAAACCGC